rnacentral:lncRNA from 1 species
CGCUGGAGCUGGGUCAGUCCGCCGCUCACCCCGCGGCCGCACCUUCCCGCCUUCUCAGGUAACUAAGUGCGGGUCUCGGGCCUGGCAGAAGCUUCUUCGGCCCCGUGCCCUCGCCUGGCCCCGCCCCGUCGGUUGUGUGCUUGUCUCGUCCUGCCCCCAGGCCCUGCCGGUCCCCACCGUUAGGCCGGCGUCCCUGCCCGGCCCCGCUGCGGGCUGGCGCCAGCUCAGGAGGACGCCCCGAAGCCGAGGCCUCGGAAGCAGGUUUUUCCCAGACCUUCUCCUGUCCCGCGUUCCCCCUAGGCCGGCCGUAGGGACCAGACCCCACCCUAAGCCCAUAGCCGGCCUUCGCGCUCCGGGUGACCCUGGCUGGCCCUGUUUGUCUGUGGGUCCUGGGAUGCGCCACUCCCGGCAGGAAGGGGCGCCGCCGAGGCCCGGUCUCAGCCUGGAACCCCGCUCCUGCCGUCGGGGCGCUUUCUGCGGCUGCCCACACACGACCCCAGGCAAGGGGUGGGGGCGCGGGACCCUCCAUGACAUGGCGGCGGGGCGCUCUCACUUCUUUGAAACCAGCGUAAACUGGACCCGCCCCACCUCCCAUACCUUGGGGGAGCCCCGGGAAAGGCUGUGGCCUGGGGGUCUGCAGGGCGUUGGCAGUGGAGGUGGGGAGAGACCCCAGCCCUUUCCUGUCCCCCCCACCAGCCUUGCCUUCCUCGCCGUGAGCCGGGGACAGUGGAGGGGAGUCAGGGAGGGCCCACCAGAUGGACUUUCUUGUGACUCAUCCUAUAAAGCCCCUCGGGCUUAGCCACCCUCCCCAGGACCCGUGUGGUCUCCCGGACUGUGCUGGAAGCUUAGAGCCAGAAUGACUUUUCCACCCUCGGGCUGGCUGGCUCAGUGGGCAGCAGGGACAGGGGGCUGUGAAGAGAAAACUCACUCGCCAGGGUCAGGGGCCGCUUGCUCACUGAGGAAAGCAGAGGGGUUCCUGCCGCUUGCCUCAGGAACAAAGCUAGUUGGUGAGGCACUGCCUUGCAGUUGUAGGAGAGGAAUAAUGGCCCCCGUGGGUGCUUGGUUGGAACGAUUAAAGGAGAAUAACAGUUUAGCACGAUUAUUUCACACAGUUGUUCAAAGAGAUGGCUUUGAAUUCCAGCUUACAUGGCGUCUUCAACAAAAAGUAAUUGUUUAGAGAAGUGACAAGAUGAAGGAGGACUCUGAGUCCUAGUCUCCCUCCUCGAGUCCCUGUGUGAGCAGAGGUAAACAAUGAAAACUCACCAACCAGGAGAAAUUCACCUAGGACUGGCGCAGAAGGUAUACACCAUGAGCCUGGAAAUGAUUUAAAAAACAACACAGGCUGGGCGCGGUGGCUCACACCUAUAAUCCCAGCACUUUGGGAGGCAGAGGCGGGCGGAUCACUUGAGGUUUGCGAGUUGGAAACCAGUCUGACCAACGUGGAGAAACCCCGUCUUUACUAAAAAUACAAAAUUAGCCAGGUGUGGUGGCGCAUGUCUGUAAUCCCAGCUACUGGGGAAGCUGAGGCAGGAGAAUCCCUUGAACCUGAGAGAUGGAGGUUGAUGUGAGCUGAGAUCACACAAUUGCAGUCCAGCCUGGGCAGCAAGAGUGAAACUCCAUCUCAAAAAAACAAAAAAAACAACCCACAACUGUGGGCCAAAGGGACACAGCGACAAGGGGUCCCAAUGGGCGAGGCUGGAAUAACUUGAAUAGCAGAAUAAAGUAGCAUUGGAUUAUAAUGCACAGGGCUGAAGAAAUAUCGAUGAGUCUUUGCUGAUGUAAUAAGUGACUGAAUGAGCUGGGCAGAGUGGGACCUGUAGUUCAGCUACUCAGAGGCUGAGGUGGGAGCAUCAGUUGAGCCCAGGAGUCAAGGCCUAGUAAUAUCCCAUUUCCAAAAUAAAAGACUGAAUUAAUAAAUAGAUGGGAGAGAGGAGACAAUUGACCAUGCAGGAGGAGUCCAAAUAUUUGUUCUUUGAGGCAGGAUCUUCCUCUGUCAUUCAGAAGGCUGGAGUGCAAUGGUGCGCUGUUGCCUUGCUGCAGCCUGGACCUCCUGGGCUCAGGCAGUUGUCCCACCUCAGCCUCCCAAGUAGCUGGGACCAGAGGCAUGCACAUCCAGCCGAGUCCAAAUAGUGUAUGCAGAUAUGCCCUCACAGAGGUGACCUGAACUUUCUGAGUUGUGAGUGAGCUUCACCUGGGGACCUCCUUUUAGGUAGCAGGGAAAAAGAGGAGGGUGAGCCACACCCAGGCACCUCCUUCCAGAGAGCAUGUGCCUCAGCCUCCAGAGUAGCUGGGAUUGCAGACAUGUGCCACCAGCCCGACUAAUUUUUGUAUUUUUAGUCGAUACGGGGGGGUCUCACUAUGUUGCCCAGGCUGGUCUUGAACUCCUGGGUUCAGGUGAUCUUCCCACUUCAGCCUCCCAAAGUGCUGGGAUUACAGGUGAGAUAAAACUUCCUUAUUCACAGACUACAUGAUUGUCUAUAUAGAGAACACUCAUCUAAAGCAACAGCAAUGAUUGCCACAAAGACCCUCGUAGAGCCAGUAAGUGAGUUUGGAAUGUUCACCAGUAACACAUACAAAUUAAUCUUAGGGCUGCGUGCAGUGGCUCAUGCCUGUAAUCCCAGCACUUUGGGAGGCUGAGGCCGAGGCUGGUGGAUGGCCUAAGGUCAGGAGUUUGAGACCAGCUGACCAACAUGGUGAAACCCUGUGUCUACUAAAAAUAGGAAAACUAUCCAGGCAUGGUGGCGGGCACUGUAAUCCCAGCUACUCAGGAGGCUGAGGCAGGAGAAUCGCUUGAAUCCGGGAAGCAGAGGCUGCAGUGAGCCGAGAUCGCACCAUUGCACUCCAGCCUGAGCAACAAGAGUGGAACUCUGUCUCAAAAAAAAUAAAAGACCCGGUGUGGUGGCUCAUGCCUGUAAUCCCAACGCUCUUUGGGAGGCUGAGGCAGGCGUAUCACCAGGUCAGGAGUUGGAGAUCAGCCUGACCAACAUGGUGAAACCCUGUCUCUACUAAAAAUACAAAAAUUAGCCGGGUGUGGUGGCACACACCUGUAAUCGCAGCUACUCAGGAGGCUGAGACAGGAGAAUUGCUUGAACCUGGGAGGCAGAGGUUGCAGUGAGCUGAGAUCAUGCCACAUUUGAACCCGUGAGGCAGACGUUGCAGUGAGCCGAGAUCAUGUCACUGCACUCCAGCCUGGGCAACAGAGCCAGACUGUCUCAAAAAAAAAAAAAAAAUCUUACUUCUAUAGACAAUAAAACAUUGGAAACUGAAGUUAAAAACACAGUAGCUCCUGAGAGAGAGAGAGAGGUAUAAAUCUAACAAGACAAAACAGGAUCUGUAUGCUAAAAAGACUAUGUAUGUGGAGAGACGGCACACAGCACGCUCAUAGACUGGAAGACUGAACAUAAGAUGCCAGUCUCAGAAGGAUCUGUGAAAUUAACAAAAUUCCAAAACAUUGCAGUAGGACUCUUUUUAGAUUUAGAAAAGAUGAUUUUAAAAUGUAUACAGAAUGGUGAAGGAGCUAGCUAAAACAGUAAAAAGGAUAGAUAAAACAAUGUUUUAAAAAGAACAAAAAAGUUAGAUGAAUCACAUUACACAGUUUUAACAGACUUUAAAGCCACAAAAAUCAAGACUGUCGUAUUGGCAAAGAACAGACAGAUGGGUCAGUGAUCAGAGAGUCUAGAAACAGACCCACAUAAAUAGGGCCAUUUGAUCUUUGACAGCAGUGCAAACAAAAGCAACCCUGUGGAGAAAGGAUUGUCCAUUCAACAGAGCAGUGGGGCAGUUGGUCAUCCAUAUGGUAGAAAUGGAACCUUGGCCUAAACCUCACAUUGUACACAAUUAACUCCAAUCAUAUGUAAACGUAAAACAAAACUAUAAAAUGUUUGGAAGAAAACAGAAAAAUACCUUUGUACCUGAUGACAUUUGGUAGAGUUCUUAGACAUGAUCCCAAAGGCAUAAUCCACAGAAGAAUCCAUAAAAGAAAAAUUUGUAAAUUGGACUUUAUCAAAAUUAAAAACUUACUUUUUUGAGAUAGGGUCAUGCUGUGUUGUCCAGGCUGGAGUGUGGUGGUAAGUCAUAGUUCACUGCAGCCUCGACCUCCCGGGCUCAAGCCAUCUUCCUUCCUCAGCCUCCUGAGUAGCUGGGACUAGAGGUGCAAGCCACUAUUCCUGGUUUUAAAAAUUUUUUCCAGAGUCUGAGUCUUGCUGUAUUGCCCAGGCUGGUCUCAAAUUCCUAGCCUUAAGUGAUCCUUCCACCUUCGGCCCCAAAGUAGUUGAGAUUACAGGCAUGAGCCACCGUGCCUGACCUAAAAACGUUUGAACUACCAAAGACAGUGUGAAAAGAAUGAAAAGAUGAGGAGAAAAUAUUCACAAAUCACCUGUCAACUAAGGACCUGUAUUUGGAAUACACAGAGAACUCUUAAAACUCAACAGUAAGAAAACAGUCCAACUAAAAAGUGGAAAAGACCUGAUCAGACAUGCACCAGCAAUGACACAGCAUUGACUGUUGGGCACAGGAGAAGAGGCUUGACACCACCAGCCACCAGGAAAUGCAGAUUCAGCCACCACGCAGGACACGAGGCACCUGCACCACAGCCGCAGUGCAAGAGAAUGCUGGUGGUGCCCCAAGCUGCCAGGGUGUGGACCUGCUGGAAAUGGAAGACGGCAUGGUGGUUUCCUAUAAAGUUCAAUGUACACAGCCACAUGACCCAGCAAUCCCACUGUUGGGUAUUUAGAGAAUGAAAAACUUAAGUCCACAUAAAAACUGUACGUAAAUGUUUACUGAUGCCUUAUUCAUAAUCAUCAAAAGCUGAAAUUCAAAUGCCUUUCAUUGGGUGAACUGGUAAACUGUGGUAUAUCUAUGCAGUGAAAUACUCCUCUGCAGUGACAAUGGGGAGAGACUGACACAUUGGGCACCAUGGGGGUGGGAAGAGGUGAAGGAAGGUUGGGGGAAGGCGCCGUGGUCAGGUGUGGCACUAAGGAGAUUUGGGGGUGGAGCCAUUCUGUGUGUGGACUGUGGUGGUGGUCGCGUGACUGUACAUGUGUUAAAGCUUCAAACAAAAAAGUUAAAAAUUUUAGUUUAAAAUAUUAAAACAUUUUUAAAAAUGGACACGUAUUCCUGAAUUUUUUUUUUUUUGAGAUGGAGUUUUGCUCUUCUUGUCCAGGCUAGAGUGCAGUGGCGCCAUCUCGGCUCACCACAACCUCUGCCUCCCGGGUUCAAGCAAUUCUCCUGCCUCCUGAGUAGCUGGGAUUACAGGCAUGUGCCACCAUGCCUGGCUAAUUUUCUAUUUUUUUUAAUAGAGACGGGGUUUCUCCAUGUUGGUCAAGCUGGUCUCGAACUCCUGACCUCAGGUAAUCCACCUGCCUCAGCCUCCCAAAGUGUUGGGAUUACAGGUGUGAGCCACUGCCCCCGGCAUUCCUGAUUUUUAAUAAGCUGUAACAGAAGAUAAUUUCUCUAUUUGGUAAAUGGUAUUUGUCAAAACCCUGCAGCAAUCAUGCUUAAGUCAAGAUAUUUAAAGUAUUCCCAUUAAAGUCAGACAAGCACAGUUCUCCUUGCUAUCACUGUGAGUGUUUUCCAGACAUCCCAGCAGGGUGAGAGAACUGAAAAAGAGGGAAGGAGAUGAAUAUUGGAGACAGGGUUUAGUAGUUUGUUGAUGAUACAAUCAUCUGCAUGUAAAUCCAAGAAAAUCCCCUGAGGAACCCUGAGGACCAGCCGAGGAGUUCAGUCCGUGCCAGAUCCAGUGGGUUUCUCUACUCCACAAUAACCCAUCGGAGCAUGAGCCACAACCCUCCACCUCCAUAUGAAAGAAUCACAAAAGCUGGAAGAGAAGUGUGUAAGGACCGCCUGAGGAAGAUGCUAAAAGAGGGUGAGUUGGCAGACAUGCCACAUCGUGGGUGAAGGAUGUCAGCUGCCCCACAAAGUAAACUGUACAUUCAUUGCAAUCCUAGUUAAAUUCUGAUGAGAUUAAAUGACACAGGAUAAGCUGCUUCUGGAGCUGAUCUAACAGAAGAAAAGCCAACAUUAAAAAAAAGGCUGGGUGAGGUGGCUCACGCCUGUAAUCCCAACACUUUGGGAGGCUGAAGCAGGCGGAUCAUUUGUGUUGAGGAAUGUCAUUUGUGGUCAGCCUGGCCAGCAUGGUGAAACCCAUCUCUACUAAAAAUACAAAAAUUAGGUGGGUGUGGUGGUGGGUGCCUGUAAUCCCAGCUACUUGGGAAGCUGAGACAGGAGAAUUGCUUAGGCCUGGGAGGUGGAGGUUGGUGGUGAGCUGAGAUUGCUCCACUGCAUUCCAGCCUGGGUGACAGAAUGGUACUCUCUCUUUCACACACACACAGACACACACAAAAUAAAGAAAAAGGGCUGGCGUGGAGGCUCCUGCCAUAAUCCCAGCACUUUGGGAAACCGAGGUGGGCAGAUUGCUUGAGUUCAGUUCGAGACGAGCCUGGGCAACAUGGCAAAACCCCAUCUCUACAAAAAUAAAAAAUUAGCUGGGUGUGGUGGUGCCUGUAGUCCCAGCUACUCUGGAGGGUGAGGUGGGAGUAUGGCUUGAGGCCAGGAGCCCGAGGUUACAGUGAGCCAUGAUUGCACCACUGCACUCUGGCCUGGGUGACAGAGUGAGGCCCUGUCUCCAAAAAAAGAAAAAAAACCCCACACCAUAAAGGGGGUCCUACUGUGUCCGGAAUUGGUGGGUUCUUGGUCUCACUGACUUCAAGAAUGAAGCCGAGGGCCCUCGUAGUGAGUGUUACAGCUCUUAAAGGUGGCGUGUCUGGAGUUUGUUCCUUCUGAUGUUCGGAUGUGUUUGGAGUUUCUUCCUUCUGGUGGGUCUGUGGUCUCGCUGGCUCAGGAGUGAAGCUGCAGACCUUCGUGGUGAGUGUUACGGCUCUUAAGGUGGUGCGUCUGGAGUUGUUCAUUCUUCCCACUGGGUUCGUGGUCUCGAUGGCUCAGGAGUGAAGCUGUGGACUUUCGCGGUGAGUGUUACGGCUCUUAAGGUGCUGUGUCUGGAGUUGUUCAUUCUUCCCACUGGGUUCAUGGUCUCGAUGGCUCAGGAGUGAAGCUGCAGACCUUCGUGGUGAGUGUUACGGCUCUUAAGGUGGCGCGUCUGGAGUUGUUCAUUCUUCCCACUGGGUCCGUGGUCUCGAUGGCUCAGGAGUGAAGCUGCAGACCUUCGUGGUGAGUCUUAACAGCUCUUAAGGUUUCGCGUCUGGAGUUAUUCAUUCUUCCCACUGCGUCUGUGGUCUCGAUGGCUCAGGAGUGAAGCUGCAGACCUUCACGAUGAGUGUUACAGCUUUUAAGGCGGCGCGUCUGGAGUUGUUCAUUCUUCCCACUGGGUUCGUGGUCUCGAUGGCUUCAGGAGUGAAGCUGCAGACCUUUGCGGUGUUACAGCUCAUAAAGGCAGUGUGGACCCAAAGAGUGAGCAGCAGCAAGAUUUAUUGCAAAGAGCAAAAGAACAAAGCUUCCACAGUGUGGAAGGGGACAGGACCAGGUUGCCACUGCUGGCUCGGGCAGCCUGCUUUUAUUCUCUUAUCUGGCCCCACCCACAUCCUGCUGAUUGGUCCAUUUUACAGAGAGCUGAUUGGUCCAUUUUACAGAGAGCUGAUUGGUCCGUUUUUGACAGGGUGCUGAUUGGUGCUUUUACAAUUCCUGAGCUAGACACAAAAGAUCUCUACGUCCCCACCAGGGUAGCUAGAUACAGAGUGUCGAUUGGUGCAUUCACAAACCCUGAGCUAGACACAGCGUGCUGAUUGGUGUGUUUACAAACCUUGAGCUAGAUACAGAGUGCCGAUUGGUGUAUUUACAAUCCCUUAGCUAGACAUAAAGCUUCUCCCAAGUCCCCACCAGACUCAGGAGCCCAGCUGGCUUCACCCAGUGGAUCCUGCGCUGGGGCUGCAGGUGGAGCUGCCUGCCAGUCUUGUGCUGUGCGCCUGCACUCCUCAGCCCUUGGGUGGUCGAUGGGACUGGGUGCCGUGGAGCACGGGGCAGUGCUCGUCGGGGAGGCUGGGGCCACAUAGGAGCCCAUGGAAGGGGUGGGAGGCUCAGGCGUGGUGGGCUGCAGGUCCCGAGCCCUGCCCUGCCCUGCAGGGAGGCAGCUAAGGCCCAGCGAGAAAUUGAGCACAGCAGCUGCUGGCCCAGGUGCUAAGCCCCUCACUGCCCGGGGCCAGCAGAGCCGGUCGGCUGGCCGCUCUGAGUGCAGGGCCUGCCGAGCCCACGCCCACCCGGAACUCUUGCUGGCCUGCAAGCCUGCCCACAUCCCUGGUUCCCACCCGCGUCUGUCUCUCCAUCCACACCUCCCUGCAAGCUGAGGGAGCCGGCUCUGGCCUUGGCCAGCCCAGAAAGGGGCUCCCACAGUGCAGCGGCGGGCUGAAGGGCUCCUCAAGGGCAGCCAGAGUGGGUGCCAAGGCCAAGGAGGUGCCGAGAGCAAGCGAGGGCUGAGAGGGCUGCCAGCACACUGUCACCUCUCACUACCAGACCCGAGCAGAGCUGUGGACAACACAGUAUGGGAAUUAAGCAGGUGAGAUGACCAGAGUCCUCACUGGCACUAGAAGAUGGCAGCCCAGGAGAAAGCUACCAGCCAGAGCGAGGCCUGCCAGAGAUAGCCACAUCUCCUCUCAGAGAAUGGGGGUGAUGAGGCCCUGCAGGCCAAUCUGCCCUGUGCUGUGGGGCAGAGGAAGCUGUGGGACUGGACAACUCCAACAUUCACAGUUGUGGCACCAGCUGCAGGUGAGAAAUGUGAGGAGGGACCCUGCCCCCUCAACCUCUGAGGGGCCCUGGCAGACUGGGGGCUGUCGCCACCUGAGGGUUCCCAGCCUUCCUACAAGGCAGUGUGCAUGGUGAUGACUGAAGUCUCGGGGUAAUCUCCCAGCAAGAGGUCAGGUCCUGGUUGUGCGUCCCAGGGUGUCAGUGAAAUUGGCUGCUCCCCUGACCCAGGGCACCUUCAUGCGUCUUCACAGCAGGACUACUGUGACCAAGGCCAGACCUUUCAUCUUUCAAAAGACUUUGACUAAAAAUGCUUUAAAAAAGCAACCUUCGGCUGGACGCGCUGGCUCACGCCUGUAAUCCCAGCACUUUGGGAGGCCGAGGCGGGCGGAUCACCAGAGGUUGGGAGUUAGAAACCAGCCCAGCCAACGUGGUGAAACCCCGUCUCUACUAAAAACAAAAAUUAGCCUGGCGUGGUGGCAGGUGCCUGUAAUCCAGUUACUUGGGAGGCUGAGGCAGGAGAAUCGCUUGAACCCAGGAGGCAGAGGUUGCAGUGAGCCGAGAUCACACCACUGCCCUCCAGUCUGGGUGACACAGUGAGACUCUGUCUACACACACACACACACACACACACACACACACAAAGAAAAAACAUAGGAAUAAAUGUAGUGGUCAAAUGGUUGUUUGUCCAACGUCGACAGGAGUCUUAUCCCUUGAGCAGGCCACACCUUCCCCAGGAAUUGGCGUGGGCAGACACUCUGGGGUGGGCGGGGUGGGCCCAGGGGAGCAUCUCCUUCCUCACAAUUGGAGCAUAAGCCACCAAAAAAAAUGAAACAAAUGUGCUUUGUGUACUUUCCUUGACUGAGGAGUAAUGUGGGUAAGAGAAAGGACUCUUUGCUUAUUUAUGGAUUUAGGACUCUGUGCUGAUUUAUGUAAGCACAGUUGCAUUUCUGUGUAAGCGGAAGACAGAUAAUUCUUUCUAUUAAAGGGGACGUUCAGUGUAGCUACUGCAGAGCACCGUCAGGACACAGGCCUCCCAACCAAUGCAGGCUCAGCCCUCCACAGCCCCUCAGGAGGGACUCAGUGCAUCUCAAGGGAGUUUUAUCCUUAAAAACUAGAAGCCAUAUGGACAUCUACUUUGGGAGGAUUUGGUGGGCCUCAGGGGCCUCUAGCAGCAGAAGGCCCUGGCUUCCUGAACGCAGACGGUGCGGGUCUCAUCACAGCAAACCCCCUUGUUUUUCUGUUCCUCUGCUGCCUUUCAGGGGACACUGUUUGGCUUUCACCCGGUCACAGGUGUACUAACACACAUGACUAACACAGGAUUUUUGUCUUAUGCACACAGAACUGCAUGGGAGAAACAAAACCACCAGCGAGCAGAGAGGCCGAGGCUUGGCUCUGCUGUGAGAGCGUCAAGGUCCCUGCAGCCCUGAGCUGCUGCAGAACCCACAGGAACCAACUUCCAGAGCUUGUUUCUGGGGUCCUGGUGCAGGGACCCCACCCACUGUGCUCAGAUGGAGCUUGAAGCUCUCAGACCUCAGGCUCCCGUGGCUGCUAUCACCAGGCUUCAUGGCCCAGUCCCCAAAGUGGGUGGACCCAAUUUUGAGGACUUGUGUUUCCCCUACUCCCUGCAGUUGACGCUGACAUCAGUGUCUGCUUGUGGUUUCAGCCAGUAUCUUGACAUUUCUAAGAUGGACAGAUGGACUGGCCGAAAAUAAGUAAAAUACACUUUGAGUCAGUGAAGUCUUUUUUUUUUUUUUUUUUUUUUUUUGAGAUGGAGUCUCGCUCUGUCGCCCAGGCUGGAGUGCAGUGGUGCGAUCUCGGCUCACUGCAACCUCUGCCUCCCGGGUUCAAGUGAUUCUCCUGCCUCAGUCUCCUGAGUAGCUGGGACUACAGGUGCGUGCCAUCAGGCCUGGCUAAUUUUCGUAUUUUUAGUAGACAUGGGGUUUCACCAUGCUGGCCAGGAUGGUCUCGAUCUCUUGACCUUGUGAUCCACCCGCCUCAGCUUCCAAAGUGCUGGGAUUACAGGCAUGAACCACUGCACCCCGCCAAGUCCUUUUUUUUUUUUUUUUUUUUUUUUUUUUAAAUUGAGAUGGAGUCUUGCUCUGUAGCACAGGCUGGAGUACAGUGGCGUGAUCUCGGCUCACUGCAACCUCUGCCUCUUGUGUUCCAGCGAUUCGCCUGCUUCAGCCUCCUGAGUAGCUGGGACUACAGGCCCCUGCCACCACACCCGGCUAAUUUUUAUAUUUUUUAGUAGAGACGGGAUUUCACCAUGUUAGCCAGGCUGGUCUCGAACUCCCGACUUCAGAUGAUCAGCCUGCCUUGGCCUCCUACGGUGCUGGAAUUACAGGUGUGAGCCACUAUGCCCAGCCUAAGUCAAUUAAGUCAAGUCUAAGACUGAACCUAUUUUUAAAGUUUACUGCUUUAGGUUGUGAGAAUAUAAUUUUGGCCAUUCUCCUUUCCUUCCAAUUCUGGUUCUCUUAAGAGUUUCAGAAUUGUUGUA